rnacentral:rRNA from 3 species
GCAUAUCAAUAAGCGGAGGAAAAGAAACCAACAGGGAUUGCCCCAGUAACGGCGAGUGAAGCGGCAACAGCUCAAAUUUGAAAUCUGGCCCCUAGGGUCCGAGUUGUAAUUUGUAGAGGAUGCUUUUGGCGCGGCGCCUUCCGAGUUCCCUGGAACGGGACGCCAUAGAGGGUGAGAGCCCCGUCUGGUUGGAUGCCUAGCCUCUGUAAAGCUCCUUCGACGAGUCGAGUAGUUUGGGAAUGCUGCUCUAAAUGGGAGGUAUAUGUCUUCUAAAGCUAAAUACCGGCCAGAGACCGAUAGCGCACAAGUAGAGUGAUCGAAAGAUGAAAAGCACUUUGAAAAGAGGGUUAAAUAGUACGUGAAAUUGUUGAAAGGGAAGCGUUUGUGACCAGACUUGGGCUCGGUUGAUCAUCCAGCGUUUUCGCUGGUGCACUCUGCCGGCCCAGGCCAGCAUCAGUUCGCGCCGGGGGAUAAAGGCUUCGGGAAUGUGGCUCCUCGGAGUGUUAUAGCCCGUUGUGUAAUACCCUGGUGCGGACUGAGGUUCGCGCUCCGCAAGGAUGCUGGCGUAAUGGUCAUCAGCGACCCGUCUUGAAACACGGACC